AUAUGGUUGGGAGUAUAAAUACAGCAAAGCAAAAGGAUCCUACAGUACUAUUUCAGUGGGAGGCUCCUCUCUCUCCUUGUCCCUUUCCCACCCCCAAUGCACUACCCACAAGGGUAAAGAGGAAGUUGAAUUUUCAUUGCUUCCGUCUCAUACUCUAACCCCAUCUCCCUCUUUUCGUUUCCAAUUCCCUCUCACCCUUUUGAAAAUACCCAUCAUCCUUCCGUCUUCUGCCUUGAUCCUGCUUGUUAUAGUAUGGAUUUUUAGCGUUUUGAGGAGGGCAGAGGAGGGUUUUUUAAUUUAUUUUUAUUUUUUGUUUAAUAGAGUUGAAUCUGAAGUCUGUUUGGUUUGUGGGUUUCUCUCAAACCCUUUUGUUAAGAUCAGCGUAAACCAAUUCUCUGGUUUGAAUUUUCUUGGCGUGGUGAUAGUUUUUUUGGGCGUGUCGAAGAGGGUGGAGGUGAGUUUUUUUGAUUGGUCUGUGAUGGAUGAUAGGAGGCCACAUGGGAGUUUCUUUCAGUACCCUCCCUCUGGACUCCAUGCUUCUCCUCACAGGUCAUCUUCCGUCUCAUCAGAUCGAGAAAGAUAUCUAGCUGAAUUAUUGGCGGAGAAGCAAAAGUUGGGUCCAUUUAUGCAAAUUCUACCACAAUGCAGUAGGCUUCUGAAUCAAGAAAUCAGAAAGUUCUCAGCUUUAGCACCCAAUCAAGGUUUUGUGGAUCUUGAACGAAUUGAGCAUGAUAGUCCAUUUAGGUCAUUAGGUCAACAUCCGAAUGGAGGACCAAUGGAUUUGGAGGGUUGGCCUGCGAUGCAAACAGAGGAAAAUGGACCUCUACGAAGAAUGGCCCCUUUUCAAGCUUCCUCACUAGGUUGGCAUCGGGCACCUGGAAUACCGACCACUCCUGUUGUAAAGAGAGUCAUUAGACUUGAUGUUCCUGUGGACAAAUAUCCAAAUUAUAAUUUUGUUGGCCGAAUUUUGGGACCACGUGGGAACUCCUUGAAAAGAGUUGAAGCCAUGACUGAAUGCAGAGUGUAUAUCAGAGGUCAGGGGUCAGUGAAGGAUGCUGUUAAGGAAGAGAAACUGAAAGAUAAACCGGGGUACGAGCAUCUUAAUGAGCCGCUUCAUGUCUUGGUAGAGGCUGAAUUUCCAGAAGAUAUAAUAAAUUCCCGGUUGGAGCAAGCAGUGGCGAUAUUAGAAAACCUUCUUAAGCCUGUUGAUGAGUCCUUGGAUCAGUACAAGAAGCAACAGCUAAGGGAACUGGCCAUGCUCAACGGCACGCUAAGGGAAGAGAGCCCAAGUAUGAGCCCCAGCAUGAGCCCUAGCAUGUCACCCUUCAACACUGCAGGAAUGAAACGAGCCAAGACUGGCCGAUAAAAUGCAGGCAGCAGCUUCUUCAAAAUUUCUGGACAAUGGUAUAGCUGGUUGAUUGGUUUCCUGAUAGUUUCUUCAUGAAUUUGCCUUCAAAAAGUCAGGAGACUGAGAGUCCUCAAACGGGUGGGCUUUUAUCGUAUCGAUUCCACUCGGAUCAUAAAGCUGCUUCAUGAGGAGAAAACAGAUCAUCUUAUUCAUGCAGCCACAUCACAUAACAUCUACUUCAAUGGAACAUGUGAAUCAAAAUGAAUGUCAUUUUUACAAGCAUAUGUCAUACAAAAUCUUAUUGUUUUCUAUCUGUAACAUAGACAAAGAAUUCAUGUUCGUGGGAUUUUGUCUUUUUGUUUUUGGUUUCAACAUAUCA